rnacentral:tRNA from 1 species
ACUUUAAUAGCUUAUAUAGAAGCGUGGCGCUGAAGAUGCCAAGGAGGCAGACAUGUCUUAAAGUA